AGUGAACGCUGGCGGUAGGCCUAACACAUGCAAGUCGAACGGCAGCACAGGAGAGCUUGCUCUCUGGGUGGCGAGUGGCGGACGGGUGAGGAAUACAUCGGAAUCUGCCCAGUCGUGGGGGAUAACGUAGGGAAACUUACGCUAAUACCGCAUACGACCUUCGGGUGAAAGAGGGGGAUCGCAAGACCUCUCGCGAUUGGAUGAGCCGAUGUCGGAUUAGCUAGUUGGCGGGGUAAUGGCCCACCAAGGCGACGAUCCGUAGCUGGUCUGAGAGGAUGAUGAGCCACUGGGAGAGGGAGACGGGGCCGAGACACAUAGGGGGGGCCGAGAGGGGAAAUAGUGGAAAAGGGGCGAAGGCUUGACCCACCAAUCCGGGGGGGGUAAAGAAGGCUUGGGGGUGUAAAGCCCUUUUUGUGGGGAAAAAACUCUUUCAGCCAAAACCCCGGGGAGGAUGAGGGACCAAAAAAAAAAAGCACGGGCAAACUUCGUC
rnacentral:rRNA from 1 species